rnacentral:misc_RNA from 1 species
UCACGGUUUGCACCGGCAGUCUCUCUAGAGUCCCCGACAUUACUCGCUGGCAACUAGAGACAGGGGUUGCGCUCGUUAUGGGACUUAACCCGACACCUCACAGCACGAGCUGACGACAGCCAUGCAGCACCUACCAAUAUGUCCGAAGAAGGAUCUGUUUCCAGAUCUGUCAUACUGAUUUCAAGCCCAGGUAAGGUUCCUCGCGUAUCAUCGAAUUAAACCACAUGCUCCACCGCUUGUGCGGGCCCCCGUCAAUUCCUUUGAGUUUCAUUCUUGCGAACGUACUCCCCAGGUGGAUCACUUAACACUUUCGCUUGGACACCGACAGUAUAUCGCCGACAUCGAGUGAUCAACGUUUACGGCGUGGACUAC